GACGAACGCUGGCGGCGUGCUUAACACAUGCAAGUCGAACGGAAAGGCCCUGCUUUUGUGGGGUGCUCGAGUGGCGAACGCGUGAGUGACACGUGAGUAACCUGCCCUUGUCUUUGGGAUAACUUCACGAGACUGGGGCUCUUACCGGAUAGGAGCUCCUGCUGCAUGUUGGUGGUUGGAGAGAUUCGGCGGUGGGGGCUCGACUCGAUGCUUAUCCGCUUGUUGGUGUGGUAGUGGCGUACCAAGGCUUUGACGGGUAGGCGGCCUGAGAGGGUGAACGGCCACAUGGGGACUAAGAUACGGACCAGAAGCGUACGGGCGGCAGCAGGGGGGAAUAUUGCACAAUGAGCGGAAGCCUGAUGCAGAAACGCUGCGUUCGGGAUGACGGCCUUCGGGUGGAAAACCGAUUUCGAAGGUGACGAAGCGAGAGUGACGGUAAUGGGUAAAGAAGCACCGGCUAACUACGUG
rnacentral:rRNA from 1 species